UGCGAUUAUUGUUGUUUUUUAAACAUAGUGUACGGUUGAAUUUCAAGCAUUUUCGAAGUUUUGACGAAAGAUGUUGAAAAUGGUUGAAUUUCAAACACAAAUAUGUAAUAAAAACAGUUGCCAUCUUUGGACGCGCAGAAAACUUGUUUGUUUUUAACUGCUGUGCGUCGCAUCGACUGAUUGUUUUAGAUUUUUUUUACUCCGGGGGAAUUACUUGAUUAUAGAGCUGAACAAUAAUAAAACUGUCCACCAUUGUACAAAUGGAAACCGACUGCUACAUAUGGAUCCGGAUGAGGAGCUUCCAGUUGAAACCUGCAGACACAGGCAACAGCAAAACCAACGACAGCGAUGCGGAAGAAGAUAAAUCUUCCGACAAGGGCGUUUCUAAUUCCAAUAGGGAGGUGGUCCUGAACUUCCAUCCGGGAUCAUCUAAACGCCGAAGGAGAUAUGAAAACGACGGUUGUUUUGCUUGAGAACAGUCUGCAUAGGUUGGGGCAUUUUCCACAAGCAAUGAUCAGAUAAACACUUCCCUUCGCUCAGUGGGCCUAUCUGGUUCGAAAAGCUGCAAGUUAAGUUUCCAGCACGAUGGGGUAGCAGCCCCCCGAAUCGGGUGCUCCGUAGUCACCGGAAAGCAGCAAGGCUUCAUCCGUUCAUGGCGGCAACAGAGGUAGACGAGGCAACUAGACCAAAUUCUACAAUGAUUUUUGGAUGGACGGUCAUAAUUGUAUCACAUUGGUAAACAUGUAAAUACUUAAAUAAAGCUUCCAUUUAUUAAAUUCA